UACGGGGGGGAGCAAGCGUUUGUUCGGAUUUACUGGGCGUAAAGGGCGCGUAGGCGGCCAGCACAAGUCAGUUGUGAAAUCUCCGGGCUUAACUCGGAAAGGUCAACUGAUACUGCUCGACUAGAGUGCGGAAGGGGCAACUGGAAUUCUUGGUGUAGCGGUGAAAUGCGUAGAUAUCAAGAGGAACACCUGCGGCGAAGGCGGGUUGCUGGGCCGACACUGACGCUGAUAGUGCGAAAGCUAGGGGGAGCGAACGGG
rnacentral:rRNA from 1 species